rnacentral:pre_miRNA from 1 species
AAAAGUUACAAAUUUGUAUGGAGCUGGAACGUUUGCCUGCGGUUGCCGCUAGGGGCGCUGUUCCAACUCCAUACAGAUGUGAGUUA